rnacentral:rRNA from 1 species
GACGAACGCUGGCGGCGUGCUUAACACAUGCAAGUCGAACGGAAAGGCCCUGCUUUUGUGGGGUGCUCGAGUGGCGCACGGGUGAGUAACACGUGAGUAACCUGCCCUUGACUUUGGGAUAACUUCAGGAAACUGGGGCUAAUACCGGAUAGGAGCUCCUGCUCCAUGGUGUGGGUUGGAAAGUUUCGGCGGUUGGGGAUGGACUCGCGGCUUAGCAGCUUGUUGGUGGGGUAGUGGCUUACCAAGGCUUUGACGGGUAGCCGGCCUGGGAGGGGGAACGGCGACAAUGGGACUGAGAGACGGCCCAGACGCCUACGGGCGGCAGCAGUGGGGAAUAUUGCACAGUGGGCGGAAGCCUGAGGCAGCAACGCCGCGUGCGGGAUGACGGCCUUCGGGGUGUAAACCGCUUUCGCCUGUGACGAGGCGUGAGUGACGGUAAUGGGUAAAGAAGCACCGGCUAACUACGUG